rnacentral:rRNA from 1 species
AUGGAUGCACAGAUGCGGCCGGUACUUCAGGCCGGAGCACUUAUAGCUGUGAUUCAGGCAUGGGUGAUGUUCAUGCACAAGAGAGUUGUUCGUCGUGCUGAGAGACCUCUCACCAGAUAUGUUCCAAUGCUUAUGCGGGAGCAGGAGAGAAUCCCCAAUCUAAACUACAUAUACAACUGCAAUGACACAGAGGCUUUGUGGAUGCUUAGAAUGAAAAGAGCACCAUUUGCCAGACCUGUUCAAACAUUCAGGUCCAGGGGGCUGCUAGAAGGUAGCAUCCACACCAGUGUGGAUGAACAAGUGGCCAUGUUCCUUCAUAUUGUUGGCCAUAACCAGAGGUUUAGGGUUAUCCACAACACGUCCAGAAGGUUAAUGGAGACCAUCUCAAGGUACUUCAAGCAAGUGUUGUAUGCUGCUGGGGAGCUCAGAGGAGAGAUGAUCAAGUUACCAUCUGGCCGGACUCCUACCAAGAUUCACACAAGCCCAAGAUGGUAUCCAUACUUCAAGGUGAGCACUGCAGUAUGUAGUUCAUUGCUUGAUAUGCUUGGAUAG